UACGAAGGGGGCUAGCGUUGCUCGGAAUCACUGGGCGUAAAGGGUGCGUAGGCGGGCCUUUAAGUCAGUGGUGAAAGCUCCGAGCUUAACUCGGAAACUGCCAUUGAUACUAUUGGUCUUGAAUUCGGUCGAGGUUGGCGGAAUGUGUCGUGUAGCGGUGAAAUGCUUAGAUAUGACACAGAACACCGAUUGCGAAGGCAGCUAGCUAGACCGACAUUGACGCUGAGGCACGAAAGCGUGGGGAUCAAACAGG
rnacentral:rRNA from 1 species